GAGACUAGAACUUUACAAUUGAUUACAACUUUACUGGAGAAUACAACUUUACAAUUAGAACUUUACUAGAGACUAGAACUUUACAAUUAGAACUUUACUAGAGAAUAGAAAUUUACAAUUAGAACUUUACUAGAGACUAGAACUUUACAAUUAGAACUUUACUAGAGACUAGAACUUUACAAUUAGAACUUUACUAGAGACUAGAACUUUACAAGUAGAACUUUACUAGAGACUAGAACUUUACAAUUAGAACUUUACUAGAGACUAGAACUUUACAAUGGAUUAGAACUUUACUGGAGGCUAGAACUUUACAAUUAGAACUUUACUAGAGACUAGAACUUUACAAUGGAUUAGAACUUUACUGGAGGCUAGAACUUUAAGGUUUAAUAGGGCAUUACUGUUUAUUAGAACUGUACUGGAGACUAGACCUUUACAGUGUAUUAGAGCAUCACUGUACAUUUGAGUUGUAAUGGAAUCUAGAACUUUCCUCCACCCCUGAAGUAAAGUUUAAUAU